rnacentral:rRNA from 1 species
UGGGGAAUAUUGCACAAUGGGGGAAACCCUGAUGCAGCGACGCCGCGUGAGCGAAGAAGUACCUCGGUAUGUAAAGCUCUAUCAGCAGGGAAGAAAGUGACAGUACCUGACUAAGAAGCCCCGGCUAACUACGUGCCAGCAGCCGCGGUAAUACGUAGGGGGCAAGCGUUAUCCGGAUUCACUGGGCGUAAAGGGAGCGCAGGCGGCGCGGCAAGUCUGAUGUGAAAGCCCGGGGCUCAACCCCGGGUCUGCAUUGGAAACUGUCGAGCUAGAGUGUCGGAGGGGUAAGCGGAAUUCCUAGUGUAGCGGUGAAAUGCGUAGAUAUUAGGAGGAACACCAGUGGCGAAGGCGGCUUACUGGACGAUGACUGACGCUGAGGCUCGAAAGCGUGGGGAGCAAACAGG